rnacentral:rRNA from 1 species
AACGAACGCUGGCGGCAUGCCUAACACAUGCAAGUCGAACGAGACCUUCGGGUCUAGUGGCGCACGGGUGCGUAACGCGUGGGAACCUGCCCUUAGGUUCGGAAUAACUCCACGAAAGGGGUGCUAAUACCGGAUAAUGUCUUCGGACCAAAGAUUUAUCGCCUUUGGAUGGGCCCGCGUUGGAUUAGCUAGUUGGUAGGGUAAAAGCCUACCAAGGCGACGAUCCAUAGCUGGUCUGAGAGGAUGAUCAGCCACACUGGGACUGAGACACGGCCCAGACUCCUACGGGAGGCAGCAGUGGGGAAUAUUGGACAAUGGGCGAAAGCCUGAUCCAGCAAUGCCGCGUGAGUGAUGAAGGCCUUAGGGUUGUAAAGCUCUUUUACCCGGGAUGAUAAUGACAGUACCGGGAGAAUAAGCGCCGGCUAACUCCGUG